rnacentral:rRNA from 1 species
GGAUUAGAUACCCUGGUAGUCCACGCUGUAAACGAUGAGUGCUAGAUGUCGCGGGUAUUGACCCCUGCGGUGUCGCAGUUAACGCGUUAAGCACUCCGCCUGGGGAGUACGGCCGCAAGGCUAAAACUCAAAGGAAUUGACGGGGGCCCGCACAAGCGGUGGAGCAUGUGGUUCAAUUCGACGCAACGCGCAGAACCUUACCUGGGUUAAAUCCACCAGAAAGUCGCAGAGACGUGACCGUGCCCUUCGGGGAAUUGGUGAGAAGGUGCUGCAUGGCUGUCGUCAGCUCGUGCCG